rnacentral:lncRNA from 1 species
GCGACCUGCUUCAUCAGAUGUUGCCUACGAAAGCUCAUGCCUCUCUGAACCAGUUAGUCUCUAAGGUGCCACCCUGCCAUUCAACAUACAUGUAAUUUGCUAAACAUCAUCUUUUAAGAGUUUGAUAUUUCUAUGCUCAGCCUGCCAGUAAAAUUUCUAUUUACAAAAAAUCCAAAUGCUACCCACUAUCUAGUUAAAAUGCUCAGCAAUGAUGCUGUAGCUGUUAUGACUAGUAGCCACUACAGUCAUAGGUUCAAUUGUAGCCUUGAACCAGUUGCAGUAUAAGGGAAGAGGAUGUGGUGUACCACUUUACAGGAUGCUGAGGCUCAGAAAAGAGAGUUAGUUCCAUGGACUGGCAAGGACACUGCUGACUUAAGUUUUAUUCCCAUCUCUACCACUGAAUUCAUGGACAAUGGAGCUAUUUCAUUUCACCGCUGAGGAUCUGCUCACACCCCUAGAUGGAGGAUGUACUACACCGCAGACAGAUAGUGAUCUCCCUCUUCUCAGAUACGUCCAGUGAAGAAGUUUCCACCAUUCGCUUGGGCAAUAAAUGUGGAACAAUAUUCACUUUUCUGCAGAGUGAUGAAGGUGUAUUAGGAACCCAGCCCUCACCCUCACAGCAGGGAUCCACGUGGAAUGCAGCAUGUCUCUAUGCGACACUGGUUCUCUACACGACACUGGUCAGGCCACAGCUGGAGUACUGUGUCCAGUUCUGGGUGCUGCACUUCAGGAGGGAUGUGGACAACAUUGAGAGGGUCCAGAGGAGGGCCACUCACGUGAUCGGGGGGCAGCAGGGCAGACCCUAUGAGGAGAGGCUACGGGACCUGAACCUGUUCAGCCCCCACAAGAGGAGGCUGAGGGGGGACCUGGUGGCCAUCUAUAAACUCACUGGGGGGACCAGAAGGGUUUGGGGGAGACCUUGUUUCCCCUAGCGCCCCCUGGCAUAACAAGGAAUAACGGCCACAAGUUGGUAGAGAGUAGGUUUAGACUAGACAUCUGAAGGCACUACUUCACAGUUAGGGCGGCUAAGAUAUGGAACCAACUUCCAAGGGAGGUGGUGCUGGUUCCUACCCUGGGGGUCUUUAAGAAGAGGCUUGAUGCCUACCUGGCUGGAGUCAUCUGAGCCCAGUUUUUCUCCUGCCCAGGCAGGGGGUCGGACUUGAAUAUCUACAAGGUCCCUUCCAACCCCACUUCUAUGACUCUAUGAUCCUAAGACUGUUGCUUACGUGCAGGAAGUUAUCAGUGUCUGUUUAAAUUUUCUUCUACUUUAUGUGAGUAGCCCACCAUGUCCCAGUGUCCCACUAAAUGGACUGCAAAACUGGUUUACAAGUAUUCUACUCUAACGCAAUGCUCUUGGAAGGCCGGGCCCCCAAUUGACUGCAUGUGAAGUUAAUCGUCAUUGCUAAACAUACUCUUCAGCUAAGUAGUGAUUGAAAUGAAAAUCACUCUUUGGGCACAUCUACACUUAUUCAGAAGGGGCUAUGGUGCUAUGUAUGCAGCACACACAGAGCUGGAGUAAGAGAUUAGAGCAUAUUUAUAUGGCAAUGCUCCCUAGUACAAUUGAAUGUGGUGUUCAGUGAAACCACAUCAUCAGGAUUGACAACAAUUGAUGUUACCUUCAUAACAUCAACGUGGAUGAUGGACAAAAGAAAUGGACAGAAUGUUGGCUCAAAUUGUAAAACUACUAGCUCUAAUUUUUUGCCCAAAAAUUUUGAACUGACUUACAAAGUUACUUGUUUAUUUUGAGGCUUGAAAACCUCCAGUUAAUUAUGGAGUCUUUGUCUGUGACUGUACAUUUCCAGGAAUAAAGGAGCUGACCCAAAGUGGAUAAAAGCCA